CAAACAUGUGCUUGUUUGUUUGGAGAAGAAUGAUCUACAUUUGGAUUCCAACAACAAUUAAACAAGUUACUUGGUGGUUGCAGUUACAUUGUUGUUGGCUGCAUUCACCAUGAGCCUGGAGAGACCCACAUCUGCAAUUGCAGGGUUCUUCUGCUCGUCUAGUUACGUGUGUGGCUUGAAUUGAGGUUCUUCUUAAAUUGCAGGGUUCUCUUGGUUAAUGGUUAUGAAACCGACCAUAAAACUUUUCAUGAUUCCGAGCUAAAGGAUCAUUUGGUUAGACUAACCCAGCCCCAUUACUUGAUAUUCUUAGGACACAAUAAUUAUUAAGAAAAAUACAAGAGAAAUCCGCAAAAGGUUCUUUAUGGGCAGACCCAACCCAACUCUUUUAAACCAUACUAUCCUAGUCGAGUUGAUGUUGUUGAGAUGACCUUAUCUCUAAACACUAGAAUCUUGUCAUCGUUUAAAAUUUUCUCAUCGAAUCAUAGGUCGAUUUUCUCUCCCCUUGAGUCGCCUUUUCUCUUAGGCCUAUAUCAGUCGCAACUAAACGUUGUUAAGCCAUGAUGUGUGGAUAAAAUGUAUUUGUUUUAGAAUUAAAGUGACGACUGGUAUACA
rnacentral:lncRNA from 1 species